CACUUUCAGCAACGGAUCUCUUGGCUCUCGCAUCGAUGAAGAACGCAGCGAAAUGCGAUAAGUAAUGUGAAUUGCAGAAUUCAGUGAAUCAUCGAAUCUUNGAACGCACCUUGCGCUCCUUGGUAUUCCGAGGAGCAUGCCUGUUUGAGUGUCA
rnacentral:rRNA from 1 species